rnacentral:rRNA from 1 species
AGGCAGCAGUGGGGAAUUUUGCACAAUGCGCACAAGCGUGAUCCAGCCAUGCCGCGGGCAGGAUGAAGGUCGCGGGUUGUAAACUGCUUUUGUCCGGAACGAAACGGCUUUUUCUAAUAAGGAGGGAUAAUGACGGUACCGUAAGAAUACGCCCCGGCUAAUUACGUGCCAGCAGCCGCGGUAAUUCGUAGGGUGCAAGCGUUAAUCGGAAUUACUGGGCGUAAAGCGUGCGCAGGCGGUAAUGUAAGUCAGUUGUGAAAUCCCCGGGCUCAACUUGGGAACUGCAUUUGUGACUGCAUUUCUGGAGUACGGCAGAGGGGGGUGGAAUUCCGCGUGUAGCAGUGAAAUGCGUAGAUAUGCGGAGGAACACCGAUGGCAAAGGCAAGCCCCUGGGCCCGUGCGGACGCUCA